GGUGGCUCAGUGGUAGAGCAUUUGCCUUGCAUGUCUAAGGCCCUGAGUUCGAUUCCUCAGCACCA
rnacentral:tRNA from 1 species